AUGACCAGUAGAUUUCCCAAGAGGAAUGUGAAGGAACUGGUUGCCCUCUAAACAUGGCCAGGACCACCACGGGGUCCAAGUUACCACUUUCAAUCAAUUACAAAGUGCCCAUUCCCUACCAUCUAAGGCAAGCACAAGCGCUGGAGAGGAGAGGACAGCAGCACAGGUGGAAACAAUGGAGAAGCAAAAAGUGAAGUGAGGGCAAGGGCCGAGAAGAAAAGAACCCGGGGGAUGUAAAGCAAAAAAAGAUUUAGAAACUCUUCGAGUUCGGCGAGGGCUGGGAGACCUAAAAACUACUUCAAGAAGGAAGACGGAAGGAAAGAGGCAAGGGCCUGCAGGCGAGAGGCCCCACCCCUAAGCCCUCGGGCAGACAGCCCCGCCCCCCGAGGGGAGGAGGGAUUUCCUCCCUGCGGGCAGCUGCUUCCGGUGGAGUCCGGAAGACGCUAUCGGGAAAGGACUAAAACUGCGCAGCCAAUCGGGGCGACACUUUCGUCUUCCCGGAGGACUCGUGGGUAACUUGCUCUUGGGAACCUGCACCAUGGCGUCUGGCUGCAAGAUUGGCCCGUCCAUCCUUAACAGCGAUUUGGCCAAUUUAGGGGCUGAGUGCCUCCGGAUGCUGGACUCUGGGGCCGAUUAUUUGCACCUGGAUGCACCCUGCUCUUCAGGGAGGUCAGUUUUUUUGCAUUUUGUUCCCAACAUCACCUUUGGGCACCCUGUGGUAGAAAGCCUCCGAAAGCAGCUAGGCCAGGACCCUUUCUUUGAUAUGCACAUGAUGGUGUCCAGGCCGGAACAGUGGGUAAAACCAAUGGCUGUAGCAGGAGCCAAUCAAUAUACCUUUCAUCUUGAGGCUACUGAGAACCCUGGGGCUUUGAUAAAAGACAUUCGGGAGAAUGGGAUGAAGGUUGGCCUUGCCAUCAAACCAGGAACUACAGUUGAGUAUUUGGCACCAUGGGCGAAUCAGAUAGAUAUGGCCUUGGUUAUGACAGUGGAACCUGGGUUUGGAGGGCAGAAAUUCAUGGAAGAUAUGAUGCCAAAGGUUCAUUGGUUGAGGACCCAGUUCCCGUCCUUGGACAUAGAGGUCGAUGGUGGAGUAGGUCCUGACACUAUCCAUAAAUGUGCAGAGGCAGGAGCUAACAUGAUUGUGUCUGGCAGUGCCAUUAUGAGGAGUGAUGACCCCAGAUCUGUGAUCAACCUGUUAAGAAAUGUUUGCUCAGAAGCUGCUCAGAAACGUUCUCUUGAUCGAUGAAACCGUGAGGAGUCCAGUGUUUACGCUCAUGAAAUCUUUCUCCUGGAAAACAAGAAUAUCGACUACCAAAACAUACCACAGUUGAAGCAGGGCUGUUUCUCUGAGCAGCUGUUCAUUCCAGUGACUAAAAUCUAUCCUGCAGAAUGUUCCAAGAGGUUAGAAAUUGCAGAACCAGAUGGCUGAGGAUAUUCUGGACGUUAUGGAUUUUGACCUCAAGGAUAUAUAUUAUAUUAAUCCAACAAAGACCAGGUAGGCUAAAAGAUGAUAAGGUAGAGUUAAUCCGUAAAUAUUUAAAGUUGUGUCCCAAAUUAUACUUUGACAACAAAUAUGUAUCUGCCACUUGCAAAUAGUCUUGAUAUAUGGCAAGAAAUAACAGGACCUAAACUUUAGGCUACUAGGGGUUUUGAGAAAUAAAAAGUUUGAAAAAUAAGAACAUUAACACUUCUGCAUAGAAUAGAGCUUGCUUGUUUUUUUCCUAUACUACAGUGUAAAAAUUUGUUUUUGACUUAGGAAAGGUUUGUGCCAUGAACAGGUGCCGUUUAAUCAAAUCAGACAACACGAGGCAUAUAGAAAUAACUUUAAUUAAAAAACUUACAUAGAAGAUUAUAAUGUCAGACAUGACAAAAAGAUUUGAGCUUAUUUGCCUAGACAACUUGGGUUUGUCUGGCUUUUGUUUUCUUUUUUAAGAAUAAAUGUACAGUAAAACUAUAAGCAAAAAUUUGUCAGUUUUGAAUUUGAAUUUUUUUCCUUCUUUAAAGAGACUAGUAGAAUUCCCCAUCCCUAACAAAAACUUGGUGUCAGUCCCCCAGACUAGGCCAGGUGGCCAGGAUUGUCAGUUAUAUGGGGACUAUAACUUGAAUAACCUUUUUUUUUUUUACAUGAGAGUAAGCAAUUCAUAAAUUGUCAACUUUUAUAUAGAAAAAAUUAUGUAAUAGCUUCAAGAAGUUUCUUUAAUGUAUACUCCUGUAUUCAGUACUGAAGCACUAUCCUUUAAAAAAAUUUCUCACUCUAGCAUACACAUGAGAAUAGAUGCUUGUUUGGAUAGAGUAAGCUAAUGGUAAGGAAUGACCAAAUUAACUAGAAAUACAACAUUUUUUACUUUCCUAUUUGUUGCUCAUUUUCACUUGGGGUCUUCUCUUUAUGAGAUACAUAGGAUAGAUAAAACUCAAGUUUUAAAAUUAGACCAAUAUUUAACUCUGCUUUGCUUGUCUUAAUCUGUUAGGAGUGAAUAGAAGAUGAUCUGAAUUUAGUCCAACAGAUAACAGUGAUUUCAAAUAAAGGCAUAUUGUGUUAUCUGGUAUAGAAAUUUCCAUAUAUAACUUCUAUUGGUUAAACAUGUUUAAAAUCUCCAUAGUCACUGGGAACCUGUGCUUUACAGUGCAGCUUACAUUCCAUGGGAUAAUUCAUCCAUGCAUUUCAAGUGGAGUGGUCACUGCCAGUGUUUUUUAAAACUACGUGUGUGUACAUGUAUGUGUAUAUACUCAAUACACACAUAUUUGUAUAUUCCCAUAUACAAAGGCAUAUAUUUGAGGCAAUUUUAAUGAAUUACCA